GGGUCAUAAGACACAGGGAACAGCUGGCUUUCGAAGGUGUGGCCAUCGAUUUCUCUCAGGAGGGGUGGGAAUGCCUGGACCCUGCUCAGAGGGCCUUAUACAGGGACGUGAUGUUGGAGACGUAAAGGAACCCGAUCUCUGUGGGGGACACGGGUUCGAGUCUUGGUCCGGGAAGAUCCCACAUGCCGCGGAGCAGCUAAUCCUGUGCACCACAACUACUGAGCCUGAGCUCUAGGGGCCACGAGCCACAACUCCUGAGCCCACGCGCUGCAUCUACUGAAGCCCAAGUGCUCCAGAGCCCGUGCUCCGCAACAAGA